CUCAAGAAUUUACAGAAUUUUAAUAUCUUCCCCAGAUGUCCCCCGGUGAUGCCAAUACAAUGUUUUAAAAAUAAUCUAUGUUUUAUUUCAUUAAUUCCAUUCACAGAUUUAUGACUUGGGAUUUCAUUGUGAGCACAAACUUGUGGGCUUUGAACCAGAGAAAGCGAGUUGAAACACUGGAAAGUGUGGCCACCAUGGUCCUGCAACCCCAGUGAGAGAAGCUGGUUGUGAGGUCUGGCGCCCGCCCGCCCUGCCCAGGGGACUGCUGGUGCCACCUGCCCCGAAGCCAGGGCCUGGCUGGAGGGAGGAGAACUCCGGGGUUGGGGAGCACAUUGUUUUGGAGAAGGAUAACAUGGCAGGAGGUUGUUAUUUAAUCACUAGCUGCCUUCUGAGCCGGAGAGUUAAUCACUACCAUUAAGUAGUGAUCACUCCAGGUGAGGAGAUGAGAGCAGCUUCACAUUUCGAAAGUUUGGAAGUCAAAAAGCAAAUGCCUGAUGCAGUCAGAGCUUGACGAGGAGGCUGCUCUUGUUCCAACGUGUGUGAGCUCCAGGGCCCUGCUUUCGGGUGAUGUUCUUCUUUUUCUUUCUUUCUUUCUUUUUUUUUGUAAUGGAAAUUAAAAUAAAACAACUUGAUAACUUGAUGCUGGCGACUGGCCCUUUCUGGUUUUACCUAUCAUCAUGUUUGAAAGUUUUUACAAUGAGCCCAUAUAAUUUUUGUAAUUAGAAAAAGCAAUUGACAGUCUUUAAAACAGAAGAAAACAAUGGGCUUUUUAAGGCUCCUUUUUUUGCGGGUUUUUUUUUUGUUGUUGUUGGCCUAGCUCAGUCUCCUGCGGCUGGUGGUGGAGGCCCAGGGUUCAAGGCUGUUUACCCAAUCAUGGGAAAACAACAGCAGAUUUUUGCUUUUGCUUUCUGACCCCACGAGGAAUCAGACACAGGAAGACCGUGUCCCAGGAAGACAGCACAAUGGAAAAUAACAAAGCCGACGGAGAGGAGAGUGGUCAUCAUUUCUGUCCUGCCAGCUCCUCCUCCUGCUUCGGUCCCAGCCAUCCCUGUGUCAAGGGGGUUCCAGGGAGCAGAGCAUCAGCAGACAGAACCGGGGAGCUCGGGAGCCACAGAAUCUCAGGCCCCAGUCCAGACCUUCUGAUCGGAUCCCGCAUUUUAACCAGACCCCCAGCUGUGUCGUGUGCCUGUUUAACUGUAAGGAGCACCCACCUUGGCCUUAGUACCUCCUGCCUGCACUCAUCCACCGUCAGUCUCCCAGGGGGCUUCUUUUCUCUAUUCCCUCUAUUUCAAGGCAAUCGCCACACUAUUGCAGGGAUUCAGAAUAAACCACUGUCAAAUUAUCUUGAGCUGAAGGCAUUUGUGUUCCUGAAAUCUCUGAUCUAAAAGCAGAGCCUCCCUGAAGGAGCUCAGUGGUCAUACAUCCUCUCCCCUGAUCACUUCUAAUCUUCUCUGACCCCAACUGACUUU
rnacentral:lncRNA from 1 species